AGAUCAUCCUAGCUAUUAGAAAAUACUCAGACUUACUCAUCAGCACAAUAUAUCCUCUAAAGUUGAGACAUAUCAAAAAGUUGGAUGGAACCCCACGCUAAGAGACAUGCAAUCAAAGCUUCAAGAAACAAAAGCGAAAGAAACUUCACUGAGAAUACUUUCCAUCUCUAUCUUGAGAACAGUGAAAGAAGAUAGCGGUGGCCAUGUAUAUACAAAACUGCAAUGAUGCCGUGCCCCAUGUAACUUUUCUUUUGGAUUCAAACUCAUAAUCUUAUAAUUUUAUGACUUUCCUAACAAUGUAUCAAAACUCAUUAACGGAUUAUAGAUUUGGUUAAAUAGCUAAAGGUAAUGAUAACUUGGAAGUUUAGAUAUU
rnacentral:misc_RNA from 1 species